rnacentral:sRNA from 1 species
AGACGGGGUUUCACCAUAUUGGUCAGGCUGGUCUUGAACUCCUGCCUUGGCUCCCCACAGUGCUGGGAUUACAGGUGUGAGCCAUUGCGCCCAGCCCAGACUCAUAAGUUUAAUAUUGUUUGUUGAGUUGCUCUUAACCUUUGUGUAAAUCUAUAUUCACCUUGUACUUCUUAAUUAAUAAUGACUCUAAAUAACACUCUAAAUCUGACAUAAUAUUCAGUGCUUUACACUUAGCAAAUUUAAUCCUUGGAGUGGCCAUGUGAAGUGGUAGGUAUUAGUAUCAUCAAAUUUUACAAAUUGGGAAACUGAGAAUAAGAGAGUAUAAAAAUCAAACCGAAGUCUUUCUAGCAUCAAAUCCAUUCACCGUUUAACAUGCUAAAUCUAAUGUGAUUUGUAUUUUAGAAAAAACUUUCAAAUAUUUGAAGAAUAUUAGGGAGAAUCUUUGGAAAACAUUUAGGAAAUUUUCCACCCUCACCUCAAACACUUGAAUACCUAUUAUGUGCUUGAUACUUUCAUAAACAACAAUAAUCACAUUUAAUGUAGUUAACAUUUGUUGAGUGUAAACUAUGUGCUGUACAUGCAUUCAUUGUUUGUGAUUAUAAAAUAUUUCAAAAGUACAGAAAAGUGUAGAAAAUAAAUCUCUAUGUAUCAUUACCAGGCUUUAACAGUUUUUAACAUUGUUAUUUUAGCUUUAUUAAAAAAUCACCCUCAGUUGAAACCCCUGUACAUUCUUCUUUGAUCCCAUUCCUAUCUUAAAAGCUUCCUACCAUCCUUCCCUUGCUACAGAAAUGUAUCUGCUAUCUUGGACUUGGUGGUUAUAUGUUCCACAUGCAUUGUUCAGUUAAUCUUCUCAAAAACCUGAGGCAAAUUCUGAUUAUAUUUUAUAGGUAAAGAAACCGAGGUUUCAGUUUGCUUGCCUGAGGUCAAUAGACACUUGGAAUCAGAACGCGAACCCUCAGGCUCUCUGUCAGCAAAACUUAUGCUCUAACCACUUUUCUAUGCUGCCCUAAUUUUCAUUUUAUGCUACUAGUCCUCACUUUUCUCUCACCCGUGCUUUCGGAAAGAGUCUGUCUAAUGGACAUUGCUAUUCUGAUGUCUAACAAAGCACGUCAACAUGUCUAAAAUAUAGUUAAUCUUUCCUUUCAACCCCCAGGACUUGCCUCUUCCUCCUGUGUUUUAUAUCUCAUUGAAUGAUCCCAUUUUCUAUCUAGUUUCCAAAACUUUUCCCUCUCCUUCAACCUCUAUGUUCAGUCACUAAGUCCUGUUGUUUCUGCCUUAAAAAAAGCUAGGUGUUUGCCUCACUCCUGUAAUCCCAGCAGUUUAGGAGGCUGAGGUGGGUGGAUCACCUGAGGUCGGGAGUUUGAGACCAGCCUGACCAACAUGGUAAAACCCCAUCUCUGCUAAAACUACAAAAAAUUAGCUGGAUGUGGUGGCAGGGAACCUGUCAUCCCAGCUAGUUGGGAGACUGAGGCAGGAGAAUCACUCGAACCCAGGAGGCGGAGAUUGCAAUGUGCCGAGAUUGCACCUCUGCACUCCAGCGUGGGCAACACAGCGAGACUGUCUCAAAAAAAAAAAAGUAUCUCACAGCCAUUUGCUUCCCUCUAUCCCUGUUUAUGUUUCCUUAGCCUAGGCUACUAUCAUCUCCUAAUCAGUCUCAACAGCCUUUUAGCAGUCUCCUAAUCAGUCUCAACAGCCUUUUAAUUUUUACUUAUCUAUUCAUUCAUUUUUGAGACAGCGUCUUGCUCUGUUGCCCAGGCUGGAGUGCAGUGGCACAAUCAUGGCUCACUGCAGUCUUGACCUCCCAGGCUGGGGUGAUUCUCCCAUGUCAGCCUCCAGAGUAGCUGGGACUCCAGGCAUGCACCACCACACUUGGCUAAUUUUUGUAUUUCUUGUAAAGAUGGGAUUUCGACAUGUUGCCCAGGCAGGUCUCGAACUCCUGAGCUCAAGUGAUCUGCCUGCCUCAGCCUCUGAAAGUGCUAGGAUUACAGUCUUGAGCCACUGUUCCUGUCUCUCAUCAGCCUUUGAAAAAAAUUCUCUAUUUUAUUCUUAUUAAACCAGGAUAAUCUUUCUAAAGUUCAGAUUGAUCAUGUUCCUUACCUGUUUAAAACCCUUCAGUGGUUUACCACUGCACUUAGGAUAUAGUCUAAAUUACAAGGCUUAUAAGACACUUCAUUGUCUUGCCCCUAUUUAGCUCUUCAGCCUCGGCCAUUCCCCUGCCAUUAUAUAUACUCCAGUAAUAUUAAACUUCUUUCAGAUUCCAAUUACUUUAAAAAGCCAUGUGUUUUCAUACCUCUAGACCUUCAAUCAUAUUGAACACUCUUCCUCUCCCCUUAUCUCUCCCUUCUUGUAUCAGACUGAUUUCUGUUUACCCUGAGUCUCAGCUAAAAGAUCACGUUUUCUAGGAAGCUUUCCCUGAUUUCUCUUCUCUCCUUCUCCCAAAGUGACUUUAGGUGUUCCUGCUCUGGGAUUUCAUUAUGUAGUUGACCCUUGAACAAAACAGGUUUGAACUGCGUGAGUCUACUUAUACAUGAAUUUUUUCCAACAGAUUGUGGUUGGAAAGUACAGUAUUCCCAGGAUGCAAAACCCAAGUAUUCAGAGAUCCAACUUUUUGUAUAUAUGGGUUCUGUAGAGCUGACUGUGGGACUUGAGUACAGGAUUGUGGGGGUCCUGGAACCAAUCCCCUGCAUAUCCUGAGGGACAACUGUACACUGUACAUUCUUUAUCAUAGUACUCAUUAUACUUAUUAUGAUUGCUUAUGUAAUCUUUAUCUGCUCCCUUCCUUAUCCCCCUUAAACGUUGAGCUCCAUGAGGGCAUACAUGUUGGUAUUACAUUUUUAUUACCUAGAACAAUACUUAGUACAUAAUUGACACAAUAAAUACUUGUUGAGGGACUGAAUGAAAGUGACUAUGAGAUAUUUAGAUGGAAGUUUUGAGUUUGCAAUAGGAAGUAUGUGUUCUGCAUGAUGGGAACCAUGUCUGGGCUCUCUUUUCUUUGGACAAUAAAACAAUUUGUGAGGCAAUACCUACUUGAAAAGGGGGUUUGAGUACCUUGGGAAAAAGUAAUUAUUUGUUAUGAUAUACAUCAUGGAGUUCUGUUUUAUAAAGUUUUUAAUUUUGUAUUUUAUCUCUACUUUUAUAAAAUUAAGAUGUUUAUAAAUUAAUUAAAAAAAAAUUUUUUUUUUGUCUGCAGUCUGAAUCACCAUCUUAUUCUCCUCAGCCUCAGCCAUUUCCACAGAACUCUUCCCAGUCAGCUGCUAUUACUCAGCCUUCAUCUCAGCCAGGAUCCCAACCUAAGCUUGGCCCACCUCAGCAGGGAGCCCAACCUCCCCAUCAGGUCCAGAUGCCACUGUAUAACUUUCCCCAGUCACCACCAGCUCAGUAUUCUCCCAUGCACAAUAUGGGAUUGUUGCCAAUGCACCCUCUCCAGAUCCCUGCCCCGUCCUGGCCCAUCCAUGGCCCAGUGAUCCACUCUGCACCAGGCAGUGCCCCCAGCAAUAUUGGCCUGAAUGAUCCCAGCAUCAUCUUUGCACAGCCUGCUGCCAGACCUGUGGCAAUCCCUAACACGUCUCACGAUGGACACUGGCCCCGUACUGUGGCUCCAAAUUCCCUGGUGAACAAUGGUGCAGUGGGGAAUUCAGAGCCAGGCUUUCGAGGACUGACUCCUCCAAUUCCUUGGGAACAUGCACCGCGUCCCCAUUUCCCCCUUGUCCCAGCUUCGUGGCCUUAUGGUUUGCAUCAAAACUUCAUGCAUCAGGGAAAUGCCCGAUUCCAGCCCAACAAACCUUUCUAUACUCAAGGUACCACUGCUUACAAAUUAGUUAACAGGCUUGGGUGGGUUUUAUUCUGGGAUAGAGAGCCUUAGUGAAGGCCAGGAUCUGGGAGUGAAAAUUCAUGAAUUCAGUAAACAUUUACUGAGAGAUUAUACUGUGUCAGAUGGUGCUAGGUGCUUGUAAAACAAAAUCUCCAUUACUUGAUGCACACUUUAUUAGGAAAGCCAGACAUGUUAAAUAGAAAAGGAGUUUAGAUGAAUCAGUUAACAUUGCCUUAGCAAAUCCAAACAGGAUGUGGAUUUAAGAUUAUUACAUCACAAGAUUUUGACAGUUGAGCUAGAUCUUGAAAGAGAUGCAGGAAUUUUUUUUUUUGCCUAGAGAUGAGAGAGGAGGAGGAGUAUGCUUAGCUGAGAGAUUAAUAUAUGCAGUCACUGAGUUUUGCCUGGCAUAAUGAAGAAGAGGAGAAAAUAUUAGGGCUAGAGGACGGAGGUAUAUGGGAAAGAUGGUGAUAAGGCUAGAGAGGGUAGGCUUAGACCAUAUUAUGGAGUUUGGACUUGGUUUACUGAGCAUUGGGGACCUAAUUAAAGGUUUUUAGUGGAACGAAGACAUAAUCAGAUUUGUUUAGUAAACGUAGGACUUGAAUGACCUUAAAAUUUAUUAUGUUCUGCUGGUGCUAUUGUAGUACUAAUAAUGGCUUUGACUGGGUAAUGAAUAUUACAAAGAAUUCCUAGAAACUUGGAGCAUUUUAUCUAACCUACUUGCCUCAGAGGUAUUUGUUCUUAUAGGCAUUGUCUGAGUCUGGCCUUCAGCUCCUUGUUAACUUAGUUCAGAACACUUGGGUCAGAGUCAGUAUAGUUAAACUAGGAGUUCAAGAAGUUAAAACAGGCACUCAGGAAAUGCUGAUUGAAUGAAAUGAUAACUUAAAGGGGAAGUGCCUGGUAUGGUCUCAGGCUUGUUAUAUUUAAGCCUUCUUAAACCACCCAUAUACUACUGGGGCAUCCCUGUAUUGUAGAGUGGCAGAGCCUUGACUGUGGUUGAGCUCUUCUCUUGAGCAAAGAACUGGGGCUGAAGGAAGUUACUAUUAGUCAUAAGCCCUUUUAGGAGGGAAGAGUCUGCAACUCUUUUCUAGUGGGUUUUUUCCCUUUGAUUCCUCCUCUCCAUCUUUCGUGUCCUCUCCUUUUUUCACAUACAGGUAUUUCCUUCCCUUCUUCAUUUUUCUCCCCACCCUCUCAAAUGUUUUGCAGCAUGCUUUAUCACCUCCUAUUAUAUAAAUAGAAAAAAAGAAAGCUAACUACAAGUUAAUUCUAAGGUGUUGUCAGAUAAACAGGCACAAGCCUUUCAGUUUCCUGUCUGUGUUGUAUCCAACAGACAGAUGUGCCACCCGUCGAUGUAGAGAGCGUUGUCCCCACCCACCAAGAGGAAACGUGUCGGAGUAAUGCGAGUCCAUUUUCUUUCAGCUGGUCUACCGAUGCACAGCAACCAGCCAAUCCUGCUGUCUCAAGGGUAUCCGUACCUCAAUGUCAGUUACAUUCAGCAGAAAAAGUGACAUUUAAUGGAAAGCAAAACAAAUCAGGUCCUGAUUUAAAAUUUUAACACGUUUAGAUAGCUUAUUUAAAUUCUAAGACUGUUUUUACAGACUGUAUUAUUUGUAUAUAAAUAUGAACUAUAGUUUUUACUAGUAUCACCAAAUUGAGUGAUACAAAUUUCAUCUAUUUUAUUACCCUAUUUUUAAGGGAAUUUUAUGUUUUGUUUAACCUUGAUGAAUUGUAUAAAGAGAGAAUUUAAAAAAUUACAUUCUUUAUUUUCUAUUAGCUGUAUUCAUACUUUGGUUGCUUCAGACUUUAUAUAUUGUUCUUAAAAGUUAGGAAAGAAUUUCAUGUGUUUUAAAUUGUCACUUCUAUUCUUUACAGAACCUUGUAGUGCCAAAAACUUUUUAAAAGGUAAAAAAAUAAAAUAAAAUUACAAUAU